ensembl:lncRNA
GGAUGGGCUGGUUUAUUCAGUGUCUGUUAGCUGCGUUUAAAAGGUGUGUAGGAGUGAAGUAAUACAUAUUUACUUAAUUCUCUAGGCUAAGCUAUAAUAGUCAAAAUGGAAUGAAUAAUUAAAUGUAAAAGCGAUCUGGAGAUACAUCUGCAUAUGUUUUUGUAAUAUUAAGUUAGGGACAGAUUUUCCAACCAUAACUGAAGAGAGAAAUGCUAAAGGAAUACUGAGAUUUGACUUGAUAAUUAUGUGUAAACAUCCGAAUCAUCUAAAUGACAAUCAAUUAAUGAAAUAAAAAUUGAUGCAAGACAAAAAUUCAAUAACUUAACACAUAUAAUGAACAGACAGAUAAUCUCAAGGCACUGUGUUUUUGUCGCUCAAAAUAAUGGUCACUAGUCUAAGAGGAGAGUAGCAAUAACUAUAGAAAUAUAAAUUAUAUAUGCACAUUAUCAGCAUUACAUGAUGAUAGUUGAAAAUACAAAUUACCAUUAGUAAUAAACAUUAUCAUCAAAUGCACCAGAAUCAGAAUUACUUGACCUUUUAGGAAUUGAUCCUGCUCUCCAUAAUGAGUAACUAAGAAAAUAUGGGUCAUUUUUUUCCCUUAACUCUGUUUAUGCUCCUGAAUCUCCUGAUGCAUUUUAUUGCUCCAUCUUUUGCAUAAUUAUUUUUUGUAGCUUCUUUCUCUUCAGCUGAGAUAUCUCCUAUAUUCUCUUUACACUAUUCCAUAAAUGAUCCCAAUUUCUUCCUAGGCAUCAUUGGUGAAUUCCAUGCUUGUGAUGACAAUGUAGUGAUAAAUUAUCCAUGUGUUUUUUCUUCCAGUUUUGUCUGUUCCUCAAGUGACUCUCCUGGAUGUAGCAAUAGGCCAGUAGCGAUGCAUGACAUUUUGGUCAGGUCAGGCAGUGAGAAGGAAAGAAAAUCUAAACUCUCUCUUUGAGAUUUUCAAUGCAAGAUCUGGGUGGAAGCCGACAAAUAAUUUGGAAGUACCCACGAUUAGUCAGUAUGAGGAUUUUACGCUCCCUCAAGAGUAAUUGAGGUGGGGGGUCGGGAUGGGGGGUGAAAGGGAUGAAGAGGGUUGAAUAACAAACUUCCAGCUAUAAAUAAAUGUCUUGGGGAUGUAACGCACUUGUUGACUCUAUUUAUAUUUAUAUUAACUAUAGUUAAUAACGCUAUAUUGUGUAUUUGAAAGUGGCUGAGUAGAUCCUAAAAUUUCUCAUCAGAAGAAAAAAAUAUGUAAUUAUGCAUAGUGAUGGAUGUUAACUAGACUUAUUGUGGUGACCAUUUCACAAUAUACACAGAUAUUGAAUCGCUAUGUUGUACACCUGAAACUAAUAUAAUAUGUCAAUUAUAUCUUAAUUAUUGUUUUUUAAAAAGAGUGCUCGAGGUUGUUUUAUCAGAUGGACAAAAGAAGCUAUUUCAAAGGGAAACAAGAAGACCUAAUAUUUAGAGCCUAAUAUUUAGACUCCGUGGGGUCCUUGAGAAAUGACUCUGUGUCCUGGCCACACUACUGGACAGUGCACUUGAAAUACCAAGUAAAGUAAAAGAAAUAAAUGAUAUCAGUGCCCCACAAACAUUUUCACGUAGGAUGAUGUAGGAAUCCCGGGUUCCCUCCUACCCUGUCCCCCCCACACAAAUCUUGACCAGGGACAGAGUUACAGAAAAGAAAAGGCUGGGUAAAUUUACACCACAGUCAUCACCACACACCCGCCAGAAGCCUCAAAUUAAAAUCUGGACAGUAUUACGUGUCAGCAAGAAUGUGAAGAUAUGGGAAUUACAGUGUGGGACUAUCAAUUGGUUUGUUGACUUUGAAGAAAAAAAAUGACAAUAUCCCCAGUAAAGCUGAAGAUAUGGUUACCCUAUGAUCCCUGCUUAAUACCAUAAGUAAAUCCAUGUGAAUGGUAACCAGAUAUAUAUAUAUGUGUAUAUAUAUAUAUAUACACACACAGAAGAAUCGUCUCAGAAGCAUCAUUUGUAGCUGCCAAAAGUGAACACAAUCCAGACCUCCAUCAACAAUCGAAGGAAUAAACAAAAUGGUGUAUUAAUAGGAUUAACUUGCAGCACUGAGUAUGAAUCUUAAAUACUUAAUAUUGAAUGAAAGAAAUCAGAUGCAACAGUAUAUAUAUGUUACCCUAAUUACACAAGGGGAAAAAUAACAGGCAAAAAUCAGACUAUGAUUUUGGCAUAGAAAUAGACAUGAUAAGAGUAUAAAGAAAGGCAAGGGAGGGUUAUUAUGCUAAUUUGGAUAUUCGAUACCCUGGGGGCAAGAGGAGUCUAGCAACAGUAGGGGGCAUGCAGGAGACCUACUGGUGGUAGUAGUACUCUAGUUCUUGACCUGGGUUGAUGUCACACAGUUGUUUAUUUAAUAACCAUCUAUAUGUAUCCAUUUUUUUUGUUAAGAUUAUGAUAGUUUACAACCUUGUGAGAUUUCAGUUGUACAUUAUUGUUGGUCAUGUUGUGGGUACACCACUUCACCCUUUGUGCCCUCCCCCCACCCCCCUUUCCCCUGGUAACCACCGAUCAGUUCUCCUUGUCUAAUAUGUAUCCAUUUUUUGUACUUGUAUAUUUCACAAUGAAAAUGAAAUAGAAGAAAGGAAGGUGAAAAGAAAGAAAUUUCUCUAUUCAUGAAGUUCUUAAAGUUAUAAUUUUGGUCAAUCAGGUUCUUCUCCAAAUUCAGAUUCUAAAAAAGUGAAAGCACAAACACUGUUUUCAGGACAAGUGUAACUGUUCUUUGUAAAUGUAUUUCACGUCAAUGACCAGCUCACACUGACCUCUGAGUCCGUAGGUUACAAUCUGAUUGACUCAGUACUUAAAAUAAGCUUAACUGGACAUUUUCAAAGAUUAUUUUCACAGAGCUACAAUUCACUCAGGCUCUUUUUUCUGUGGAUCUCAAAACAGGAAUCCUGCCUCAGCAAAUCUAGUAUUUAUUUGUCAGUAUGCUUUGGAGGAGAAAGAAGAAAAUUCUUAAUUUUGUCAACUUAAUAAUAGAAAUUGAAUGUGACUGUUGGGGGAGGCAAGCCUCCUUUCACAAUUAUGAAAGAACACAGGUUUAUUAACCAUGGAGGAUCCCAAAGUGAAGCCUCUGGGUCUCUUCCUAGGUCUGAGUUGACUUGUGGUGUCUUCUUUUUGUCCUUUUCUUCAUAUUCUGAUGAUUCAGACCACUUAACCCUCCUUCAUGCUGACAGAUCACCGUUGGAGCUGUGAGGUUCCUGUUACCCCAAGCUGGUGGCAUAUUCUCUCCAGUUCCCGCUUUCCUCAUUGCCACUGGAAAAAUCCCCUAGGUUUCCUCAGUUUGAAGUUCUGCUUAUUUCAAAAUAGUUUCGUUAUCCCUGCUACUGCGAACAUCUCGCCCUCUUGUUUCCAAGAAAGUUUAAUGAACAGACCUCUUCUCAAACUAAAGAUGAAAUCCCAUCAUUCUACUUAUUUUAUGUAGGAAAUCCACAUCUACAGGACCCUUCAGAGAGGGACCCCUCUUGCCCUGGAGUAAUCCUAUUAAGCACCUUCAUCUCACUGUUUCUAAUUAUAAUAAGAAAGUCAGAAGAAACUCGGUUUCUCCUAUAAUGAAUUCAUACAAGAAUUUCUGCAAGUGACAAAAUGUUGGAGAGAAUGACUUCAACACUCAACAGACUGAUUUUUUUAAAAAAAUAGAUCUGAUUAUUUCCUACAAUGUGAACAGCCUCUGUGUGUCUCCUAUGGCUUGACUGACUCACAAAGUUGUCCUUUCUUUCCCUCCAAUACCAGAAGUUGGAAGGAAACCCCUCCCAGCUACUACAUUGAUGACAAGGGAAAGUGUGUGUGAACUGGGGU